rnacentral:rRNA from 1 species
UGGGAAUAUUGGACAAUGGGCGCAAGCCUGAUCCAGCCAUGCCGCGUGUGUGAAGAAGGCCUUUUGGUUGUAAAGCACUUUAAGCGAGGAGGAGGCUACUUGGAUUAAUACUCUAGGAUAGUGGACGUUACUCGCAGAAUAAGCACCGGCUAACUCUGUGCCAGCAGCCGCGGUAAUACAGAGGGUGCGAGCGUUAAUCGGAUUUACUGGGCGUAAAGCGUGCGUAGGCGGCUUUUUAAGUCGGAUGUGAAAUCCCUGAGCUUAACUUAGGAAUUGCAUUCGAUACUGGGAAGCUAGAGUAUGGGAGAGGAUGGUAGAAUUCCAGGUGUAGCGGUGAAAUGCGUAGAGAUCUGGAGGAAUACCGAUGGCGAAGGCAGCCAUCUGGCCUAAUACUGACGCUGAGGUACGAAAGCAUGGGGAGCAAACAGGAUUAGAUACCCUGGUAGUCCAUGCCGUAAACGAUGUCUACUAGCCGUUGGGGCCUUUGAGGCUUUA